CUAGGGGCCUGAUCCAAAGCCCACUGAAGUCAGUGCAAAGCUUUCCAGUGACUUCAGUGGGCUUUCGAUCAGGCCCUGGCUAG
rnacentral:pre_miRNA from 1 species